UACGUAGGGGGCGAGCGUUAUCCGGAUUUACUGGGCGUAAAGCGCGUUAAGGCGGUUGGCAAAGUUGGUUGUGAAAUCUCAGGGCUCAACCCUGAAAUUGCGACCAAUACUGGUCGACUAGAGUGUGAGAGAGGAAGGUGGAAUUCCCGGUGUAGUAGUGAAAUGCGCAGAUAUCAGGAAGAACACCCGUGGCGAAAGCGGCUCUCUGGAACGGUACUGACGCUGAGACGCGAAAGCGUGGGGAGCGAACAGG
rnacentral:rRNA from 1 species